GGAGGGGUUGGAGAAUUGGCACUCCGCCUGUCUUGAAAACAGGUAAGCGUUUACGCUAUGCAGGUUCGAGUCCUGUCCCCUCCG
rnacentral:tRNA from 1 species